rnacentral:rRNA from 1 species
UACGUAGGGUGCGAGCGUUGUCCGGAAUUACUGGGCGUAAAGAGCUCGUAGGCGGUUUGUCGCGUCGUCCGUGAAAACUUGGGGCUCAACCCCAAGCUUGCGGGCGAUACGGGCAGACUUGAGUACUGCAGGGGAGACUGGAAUUCCUGGUGUAGGCGGUGAAAUGCGCAGAUAUCAGGAGGAACACCGGUGGCGAAGGCGGGUCUCUGGGCAGUAACUGACGCUGAGGAGCGAAAGCGUGGGUAGCAAACAGG